GAUGAACGCUGGCGGCGUGCCUAAUACAUGCAAGUCGAGCGAACAGACGAGGAGCUUGCUCCUCUGACGUUAGCGGCGGACGGGUGAGUAACACGUGGAUAACCUACCUAUAAGACUGGGAUAACUUCGGGAAACCGGAGCUAAUACCGGAUAAUAUAUUGAACCGCAUUGUUCAAUAGUGAAAGACGGUUUUGCUGUCACUUAUAGAUGGAUCCGCGCCGCAUUAGCUAGUUGGUAAGGUAACGGCUUACCAAGGCAACGAUGCGUAGCCGACCUGAGAGGGUGUUCGGCCACACUGGAACUGAGACACGGUCCAGACUCCUACGGGAGGCAGCAGUAGGGAAUCUUCCGCAAUGGGCGAAAGCCUGACGGAGCAACGCCGCGUGAGUGAUGAAGGUCUUCAGAUCGUAAAACUCUGUUAUUAGGGAAGAACAAAUGUGUAAGUAACUAUGCACGUCUUGACGGUACCUAAUCAGAAAGCCACGGCUAACUACGUG
rnacentral:rRNA from 1 species